rnacentral:rRNA from 1 species
AACGCGAAGAACCUUACCGGGGCUUGACAUCCUGCGCUAUCCUAGGAGACUAGGUUUUCCAGCAAUGGAACGCAGAGACAGGUGCUGCAUGGCUGUCGUCAGCUCGUGCCGUGAGGUGUUGGGUUAAGUCCCGCAACGAGCGCAACCCUUGCCGUGUGUUGGUCGCAAGAUCUCUCACGCGGGACCGCCGGUGACAAGCCGGAGGAAGGUGGGGAUGACGUCAAGUCAGCAUGGCCCUUACGUCCCGGGCUACACACGUGCUACAAUGGAAAGGACAGCGAGUCGCGAACCCGCGAGGGUAAGCUAAUCUCACAAACCUUUUCUCAGUUCGGAUUGGAGGCUGCAACUCGCCUCCAUGAAGUCGGAAUCGCUAGUAACCGCAGAUCAGCUACGCUGCGGUGAAUACGUUCCCGGGCCUUGUA